rnacentral:lncRNA from 1 species
UUUUAUGUUAUGUUUUAUUUUCUUGUAUUUUCAGAUAUUGGGUAUUUUGGUUAUGUACUUUUUGGGGUGUUUUGUCCCCCACGCACAUUUUAACAUUUUGAAGUGAUAGUUGUUGUUUAUGUUUUAAAUUAUUAUGUUUGGUUUGAAUUUCUUUUGUUUAAUAAAUUUUUGGUUGUUGAGGGUCAAACCUUCUAGAUUGGUUGCUCCUCAAAGAAGUAUCCAAUGAAGGUGCAUCCGAGCUUGGAUGACGAUGAUAAAAAUAAACAAGUGAAUAAUGCUAAGGUACAUGGUUACCUCCGGUUAGAAUUUUAGAAUGCAUUAAGAACUUUACUCUUUUCGUAAUUGAAUAUUGUUCUUUUUGCAACAUAAUUGAAUGAAUGAUUCACCU